UCUUCCCUCUUUCUUCGUGCCUAAUACAUGCAAGUCGAGCGAACAGACGAGGAGCUUGCUCCUCUGACGUUAGCGGCGGACGGGUGAGUAACACGUGGAUAACCUACCUAUAAGACUGGGAUAACUUCGGGAAACCGGAGCUAAUACCGGAUAAUAUAUUGAACCGCAUGGUUCAAUAGUGAAAGACGGUUUUGCUGUCACUUAUAGAUGGAUCCGCGCCGCAUUAGCUAGUUGGUAAGGUAACGGCUUACCAAGGCAACGAUGCGUAGCCGACCUGAGAGGGUGAUCGGCCACACUGGAACUGAGACACGGUCCAGACUCCUACGGGAGGCAGCAGUAGGGAAUCUUCCGCAAUGGGCGAAAGCUUGACGGAGCAACGCCGCGUGAGUGAUGAAGGUCUGCGGAUCGUAAAACUCUGUUAUUAGGGAAGAACAAAUGUGUAAGUAACGAUGCACGUCUGGACGGUACCUAAUCAGAAAGCCACGGCUAACUACGU
rnacentral:rRNA from 1 species